UACGGAGGGGGCUAGCGUUGUUCGGAAUUACUGGGCGUAAAGCGCACGUAGGCGGCUUUGUAAGUUAGAGGUGAAAGCCCAGGGCUUAACUCUGGAAUUGCCUUUAAGACUGCAUCGCUAGAAUCGUGGAGAGGUGAGUGGAAUUCCGAGUGUAGAGGUGAAAUUCGUAGAUAUUCGGAAGAACACCAGUGGCGAAGGCGACUCACUGGACACGGUAUUGACGCUGAGGUGCGAAAGCGUGGGGAGCAAACAGG
rnacentral:rRNA from 1 species